GAUGGGCAUGUGAUGAAUCUCAUUGUAACAAAUGGGUAAUUUGCGGCUGAAAUUUUUUUUAUUGAUGCUAUAUCACCUUGGAGAACUGAUGCCCUGU